UUGGACUUUGGUAUCCAGAUCACAUGUACCUCCACCCAAACCACAAUUAUGUUACUAGUUUAUUGACCUUUGAUCACAAGAGCCUUGGAAUAACUCCCCAAGUAAAGAACUGCAGAAAAUAAAUGGAAGCAAAGAUCAAAGGCGAUUAAAUUAAAUGACUAGCCAAUCCCAAAUAGACAAGUAUGUGACCGUACGCAUGUAGCUUUAUGAGAUGCAAUCCUAGGAGCAUGCACAAAUCAUAUUUAACUAAGCGAGUGCUUCUAUGAUUUCUAGGAAUAUUGUUGAGCUCGUAAAUCGUGUACCAUUAAAAUAAAAUUGGUGCCAAAUAGUCCCACAGCUUAUUACCGUGAUCCAGUAUGAAGUGAUGGCAUUUUGUCUCUUCUUUUUACCAGAAAUGUCUAAACAUGACGAGCGUGACCCAAAAUCAGUUUGGUUUCAUGUCUGGGAGAUCAACUAUGGAGGUCAUUUUCUUACUAAGACAACUUAUGGAGAGAUUCAGAGAACAAAAAAAAGACCUGCAUAUGGUCUUCAUAGACUUGGAGAAGGCUUAUGACAAAGUACCUAGGAGUGUAAUGUGGUGGGCCUUGGAAAAACACAAAGUAUCAACAAAGUACAUUAAUCUUAUUAAAGAUAUGUACACUAAUGUUGUGACAAGUGUCCGAACAAGUGAUGGAGACACCGAUGACUUUCCAAUUAACAUAGGACUACAUCAAGGGUCGGCUUUGAGCUCUUAUCUUUUCGCUUUGGUGAUAGAUGAGGUCACAAGUGACAUACAAGGAGAUAUACCGUGGUGUAUGUUUUUGCCGAUGAUGUGGUACUUAUUGAGGAGAGUAGGAGUGGUGUUUCGCAAAAGUUGGAAUUGUGGAGGCAGACGCUGGAAGCAAAAAGUUUUAGGCUUAGUAGGUCUAAAACAGAGUACAUGAAGCGUAAUUUCAGUGCCAUGGGGUAUGAGGAUGGCGAUGUUAGUCUUGAUGGGCAAGUGGUACCCAAGAAAGACACUUUUCGUUACUUAGGAUCAAUGCUUCAGAAGGAGGGAGACAUCGAUGAGAAUGUCAGUCAUAGAAUUAAAGCUGGAUGGUUGAAGUGGCAGCAAGCUGCGGAUGUCUUAUGCGACCCCCGGGUGCCACACAAACAAAAAGGCAAGUUUUACAGGACAACAAUCCGGCCGACUAUGUUGUAUGGAGCAGAAUGUUGGCCCACUAAAAGACGACAUGUCAUGGACCUUCGGUCCACGGGGAUAGUUGUCUUCUCCGGCGAGGUCAGUGGCGGACCCAGAAAUUAGCCAAGCCCCGGGCCGAAGCAACAUAGACUCUAAUAGUAGUAUAUAAAAAAAAAUUGUACCAUGAAACAAUGUUUCUAUAAAUGUUAAAGAUGAUAUUCCGCAACUCAAUUUUAAUAAUAUUCAUAGAUAAGAAAGCUCUCUCCACAGAUGCUGUUGUCACUGAUAAAAUCAAAGCUAAUUUAAUUUAAUGAGACGAUAUACAAAUGGAAAGACAACAUGCCUGUCACUAGAGAUGACAAUGGGUACCCGCUACCCGAAACCCGGUGGGUUUUUGCUCUAUUAGGGUAUGGGUUUGGGUCAAUUUCUCUACUCAUGGGUUUGUUAAUGGGUUCAAAUGGAAACCCAACGGGUACGUGGGCAUGGAUUUGUUCUUCCACUACCCAUACCCGCAAACCCAUGGGUUUUUAAAACCCGCCUUAAAAUCAAAAUUUCUUAUAAAUAUGUCUCAUAAUAUUAUUAAUUAAAUAUGUUCUAAUUGAAAUAAACUUCAUGUAACAAAUUUUAAGCUAAAAUUAGUUAUCACUUGUUCCUUUUAUCCUAGCUUAUUAAUGUAUUGAUUGUUAUUUACAUGAUGAAUUAUUUUUUAUGUUGAUGUUAGUGGGUAUGGAAAACCCGUUGAGUACCCGAAACCCGCAUGGGUAUGCCAUCUCUACCUGUCACUCUGAACCACCGGUAAAAUCAAAAUAAUGAACAAUGACUGGCCAUUUUUCAAAGACAAGAAAUGACUGUCGUCUGCAGGCUGCGGCGGUGGCGCGGGCGCCGGGCGGGCAAGGCGAGCCGGCGAGCCACUUAGCCGCUCAGGCUCCAGCCGCAAGCAGCACCGCGGCAGCCGGCAGGCCGCAGCCGCAGUCGCACGGCGCGUCCGCGCGUGGCCGGACGGCGGACAGGCGACGCCGGCGACUAGGCGAGGCCGUUGGCCGCACGCGGCACGCACAAUCCGGCGAGUGCGUGAUGGCGCACGGCACGACCGCACGACGCUUGGGCGCUUGGCCGGACGACUGGGCGUGGGCGAGGACGGCUGGACGGGGUCAAGAGUCAAGACUCACCGGAUUGCGCGUGCCGGCAUGCCCUGCGUGACCGUACGACUCGGCGGAACUGAAUUCUGAUGGCUGGCGGCUAGGGUUCUGAGGCUGCAUCGCACUGAUUGUUCGUGGGCCGUGGGCUGCGUAUAUUUUCUAUUUUUUUACCCGCGCCCCGGGCCGUGGCCCAGGUGGCCAUGGGCCUGGGUCCGCCCCUGGGCGAGGUUAUACCCCUCUGCCGCAGGCUUGGUUCUAGGGUAGCAGCCCUAGGCGCUUGAGAGGAUCAUUGCAAGAGAGAGAUUGGUUUGAUAAUAAUCUUGCUUGAUUUAUUCCCUGCUGCCAUGCGGCUUAUAAAUAGCCCUAUGGCUAACCAACUUCUCCUACAAACUCUCAACUAACUCCUACUUUUUUGGACUUAUCUGCUGCUAACCAACUCUCUACAAUUCUCUCAUCUCAAUCUUAUUCUCUAGCCUUAUCCCAGCUCAUCUCAAUCUUAUUCUUUCCUUUCCUGUGGGUGCGGACUGCAUGGUGGUGACCGCUCCCUAUGAUGCCCAUGACACGACAUGUCCAACAACUAAGUGUGGCAGAGAUGAGUAUGUUGCGCUGGAUAUGUGGCCACACAAGGAGAGAUCGAGUCUGGAAUGAUGAUAUACGAGAGAGAGUAGGAGUGGCGCCAAUUGAGGAGAAGCUUAUGCAACAUCGUUUGAGAUGGUUUGGACAUAUCCAACGAAGACCUGGAGAGGCACCAGUGCAUAUUGGAAUAAUUAGGCGUCCCGAGAAUGUGAAGAGAGGUAGAGGUCGACCAACCUUGACGUGGACAGAGGCUAUGAAAAGGGACCUGAAGGAGUGAAAUAUUGAUAAAGAGCUCGCCGUGGAUAGGAAGGAGUGGAAGUGUGCAAUUCACGUGCCAGAACCCUGAUUUGUAGUUUCGCUUUUCCUCCUUAAUCAUUUGACCUUUUCUUGUGCCCCUUUAGAUCUUGCUGGUUCUUGUGGGUUUUAUUUAUUUUUAUGUGUUUCCCCGUUUCGUCGUUUUUCGGUUCUCCUUUGCCUUUGUCUCCCUUUUCUUUUCUUUGGGGUUGAGCUCUGAGAUUUUCAUAUGGGGUUUCAUCUCUAGCCUACCCCAACGUGCUUGGGACAAAAAGGCUUUGUUGUUGUUGUUGUCUAAACAUUUUUACAUAGGCAUUUGCAAAAGUGGUUCAUUUUAAAUUGGACAUGAUUAGAAACAAACGAGAUGAUAGCAUAAUUACAAAUGUAUCUAUUGAUUUGUUUCAAUCAAAGUAAAGGAAAAUGUAAUCGUUAAUAAAGAAGAGAAUUAUACCAUAUAAGUUGAGAUAACCAGAAAAGAAAAUUUCUACUAUGACUUUUUCUGUUAGACAGAACCAUGUAUUUGAUGGCAAGGUAGUGGGGGUAUUUUACAUAUAAAAUUCCAACCUUUUCAGAAACAGUUGUCCCGGAAUUUGUGGUUUGCCUUUAUUUGAGUAGAGAGGACAAAUUUUGAUUGGCCCUACACCAAUAUAUGCUAGAAUCUCUAAUCAAGAGACCACCCCUGAUCCCCUGUUUUCACCACUGAGGUUAGGCCCUGUUGCCUGCAUUUCAGUGGUCAUGCUUGUGUCACCGGAAUCAGAAUUGACAAAUGAAUUUGGUGAGUUAUUCAACAAUAGUUACAAGUACAAGGCACCUUUUCUACAAAAUUCCCAAAAUCUACCACAGCAUGAAUAGACAGUUUGGGUCUCAGUUCCUCUUGUUUAUAUGUGAAAAACGGCCGUCCCCAGUUCCUCCUGUUUGCAAACCACCAUUUUAAAAAAAAAAUCUCAAAAAACACUCGUGGUAUUGUGCAAGAGAGGAUUUUCUUACCAAGGAAUCCUUCUGAAGCUGCAGAAUCACCCUUGCAAGUUGACUUUAUAUAUGGAAAAUAUGGAAGCGCCAAGCGGGUAUGGACCUAUGAUUGGAUUCCUGCGUGGU
rnacentral:lncRNA from 1 species